rnacentral:rRNA from 1 species
UACGGAGGGGGCGAGCGUUAUUCGGAAUUAUUGGGCGUAAAGGGCGCGUAGGCGGCCGUCUAAGUCAAAGGUGAAAUCCCUCGGCUCAACUGAGGAACUGCCUUUGAAACUGGAUGCUUGAGGCCGGGAGGGGGUAGCGGAAUUCCCAGUGUAGCGGUGAAAUGCGUAGAUAUUGGGAGGAACACCAAUGGCGAAGGCAGAUCUCUGGGCCGUAACUGACGCUGAGGAGCGAAAGCAUGGGGAGCGAACAGG